GCGAACGGGUGAGUAAUGCUUAGGAAUCUGCCUAUUAGUGGGGGACAACAUUCCGAAAGGAAUGCUAAUACCGCAUACGUCCUACGGGAGAAAGCAGGGGAUCGCAAGACCUUGCGCUAAUAGAUGAGCCUAAGUCGGAUUAGCUAGUUGGUGGGGUAAAGGCCUACCAAGGCGACGAUCUGUAGCUGGUCUGAGAGGAUGAUCAGCCACACUGGGACUGAGACACGGCCCAGACUCCUACGGGAGGCAGCAGUGGGGAAUAUUGGACAAUGGGCGAAAGCCUGAUCCAGCCAUGCCGCGUGUGUGAAGAAGGCCUUUUGGUUGUAAAGCACUUUAAGUGGGGAGGAAAAGCUAAUAAUUAAUACCUAUUAGCCCUGACGUUACCCACAGAAUAAGCACCGGCUAACUCUGUGCCAGCAGCCGCGGUAAUACAGAGGGUGCAAGCGUUAAUCGGAAUUACUGGGCGUAAAGCGAGCGUAGGUGGUUACUUAAGUCAGAUGUGAAAGCCCCGGGCUUAACCU
rnacentral:rRNA from 1 species